rnacentral:lncRNA from 1 species
UGACUUAGUGACUUGAAAAUGUUUAGGUGUAGGUACUUGAAAUGUGAACUUUUCAUUUUGAAUUAAGUUCAGUUUGCUAAUUUGCGAAGUGAAUUAGUGACUUGAAAAUAUUUAGGUGUUAGGUACUUGAAAUGUGAACUUUUCAUUUCGAAUUUAGUUUAGUUAGAUAAUUUGUGAAGUGACUUAGUGACUUGAAAUGUUUAAGUGUAGUUACUUGAAUUAUGGAUUAGUGACUUUUGUUUUGAAUUUAGGUACUUGAAAUGUGAACUUGCGUUUUGAUUUUAGU